rnacentral:rRNA from 1 species
CAGCCGCCGCGGUAAUACGAAGGGGGCUAGCGUUGUUCGGAAUUACUGGGCGUAAAGCGCACGUAGGCGGAUAUUUAAGUCAGGGGUGAAAUCCCAGAGCUCAACUCUGGAACUGCCUUUGAUACUGGGUAUCUUGAGUAUGGAAGAGGUGAGUGGAAUUCCGAGUGUAGAGGUGAAAUUCGUAGAUAUUCGGAGGAACACCAGUGGCGAAAGCGGCUCACUGGUCCAUUACUGACGCUGAGGUGCGAGAGCGUGGGGAGCAAACAGGAUUAGAUACCCGUGUAGUCCCUGUCUCUUAUAC